rnacentral:rRNA from 1 species
AGAGUUUGAUCCUGGCUCAGGACGAACGCUGGCGGCGUGCCUAACACAUGCAAGUCGAGCGGAGACAGUGAGUAGCUUGCUAUGAGCUGUUUUAGCGGCGGACGGGUGAGUAACGCGUGAGCAACCUUUCCCAGACAGGGGAAUAACACACCGAAAGGUGUACUAAUACCGCAUAAGACCACGGAAUCACAUGGUUCUGGGGUAAAAGAUUUAUCGGUUUGGGGUGGGCUCGCGUCCGAUUAGGUAGUUGGUGAGGUAACGGCCCACCAAGCCGACGAUCGGUAGCCGACCUGAGAGGGUGAUCGGCCACAUUGGGACUGAGACACGGCCCAAACUCCUACGGGAGGCAGCAGUGGGGAAUAUUGCACAAUGGGGGAAACCCUGAUGCAGCGACGCCGCGUGAGCGAAGAAGUAUUUCGGUAUGUAAAGCUCUAUCAGCAGGGAAGAAAAUGACGGUACCUGACUAAGAAGCCCCGGCUAACUACGUGCCAGCAGCCGCGGUAAUACGUAGGGGGCAAGCGUUGUCCGGAAUAAUUGGGCGUAAAGGGCGCGUAGGCGGCUCGGUAAGUCUGGAGUGAAAGUCCUGCUUUUAAGGUGGGAAUUGCUUUGGAUACUGUCGGGCUUGAGUGCAGGAGAGGUUAGUGGAAUUCCCAGUGUAGCGGUGAAAUGCGUAGAGAUUGGGAGGAACACCAGUGGCGAAGGCGACUAACUGGACUGUAACUGACGCUGAGGCGCGAAAGUGUGGGGAGCAAACAGGAUUAGAUACCCUGGUAGUCCACACUGUAAACGAUGAAUGCUAGGUGUAGGGGGUAUCGACCCCUUCUGUGCCGCAGUCAACACAAUAAGCAUUCCGCCUGGGGAGUACGGCCGCAAGGUUGAAACUCAAAGGAAUUGACGGGGGCCCGCACAAGCAGUGGAGUAU